CAGGCGUCGGGCAUCUGGUGCCCAGCAUCAGAGAGAGUGGGAGCCAGCUAGAAGGACUGGAAAAGGCGUGUAAGCUUUCUUCUGAGAGUUGUGCCGGGAGCUAAGUGAUGUAGAAGAGUGGAGAAGCUUGUCUUCCCAAAGUUGUUCUCCAGCAAGGUUUUUUUUCUUCAACCCCACCAGUGAGCCACAACACCCUGAG